GAGCGGUGGGAAGUCAGAGGCCGUCCUUUCCCGACAGCAGUUACUGCAGCCGCCUGGCUCGGAGGUCCAGGGCGGGUGCCUGGACGUUGGGCAGACCCGAGCUCAAAGCCUGAUCUCGCUCCUCACUAGCUCUGUGACCCUGCAGUGCCACCUUGCUCUGAGCUUGACUCACCUUUACCGUCUGCAAAAUGGAACUCAUAGGAGAUCGAGGCUGAAGACUCAACUCACACGCCAUUCCCAGUAGCACGUUGCUCCGUGCCUCUGGUCUGUAGCUGAUGCCCCUGCUCUCAACAUGAGGAGGGCACUGGCAACUCACAAGCAAGCCCUGGGUCCCACAGGACAGGAGGCGCACCGCCUACCUGCAAGGUCACCCACAAUCGCGCUCUGAAAUUGCAGACUGACAGCUGAUGCAACCCCCCACCCGGUUUUGUCCUGCCAACACAGCAUCCCACAACAUUUAAAAUUAGCUGUCAAAUCAGAGAUGUGACAAAAAAGUCGAGAUUGCCGGCUUUUCUUGAAUCGGAUCUGCACUUUGUGCAUGGUAAAAACCACCAGGAGGUGACUGCCCAUCACCCCUGCUCACCUGGGUGUUGGAAUUUCCUUCCAGCUCCUUCCCUCAUUUACGCUGCCUCCCCCGCACCCAUCAGCCCCAGGCUGCAAUCCUGUUACUCCAGAAUCAGCUGAAACAAUAAUUUGCCCACGGACAGGGCACUCACUGUGCUGUAAUGUUGACAGCAUCUUAUUUGCUCCUUACAGAAUCCCUAUGAGGCAGGUAGAAGCCCAUUUCACAGAGGGGGAAACCGAGGCUAAACUGGAGGACACCUGGAGGGCUGAACCCUUUCCAGUGGUAAGGCGAGUCCAGGCAUUGCCCUCUAUUGCCCCCUUGUGCCCAGUCUGCACAUGUGCACCAACCCCACAGGCCCACAGGGCUGCAGUUUUCAGGGCCAGGUGAGAUCUAGUUAUUUCCCCAAGCUCCCGGAACACCUCAGCUCAUGCAGAGCUGAACCCCGUCCACAAACUUAAAAUGGAUCCAGGUGGUUCCCUACAGCACUUGUUCUCAGCCUGGGAUGGGCAGCCUGUGUAAAUUUACCCCGCGUGGAAAGCGGGGCUCCCCCUAAUACUCCAGGUGUACCGUGUGGCUCUAGUCUUCCGGUGUGGGUUGCACUGCGUCCCCCACAAGACAUAGGUCUUAACCCCCAGUACUUGGGAAUGCGACCUGUUUGGUAACAGGGUCAUUGCAGAUAUUAAGUUAAGAUGAGGUCAUCCUGAGGAGCGAGGUGGGCCCUACAUCCAGUCAGUGGUGCGCUUAUAAGAAGAAGGAAGUUUGGAUACAGACACGCAGAGGAGAAAGCUGUGCGCAGGUGGAGGCAGAGGCUGGAGAGAUGCGCCUACAAGCCAAGGACUGCCGGCCACUCCCGGAAGCUGGAAGGGGCGGGGCAGGAAGCACCCUUGCCUGAGCCUUCAGGGGUAUGGCCCUGCUGACACCUGGAUUUGGGACUUUAAGCCACUUUAAGAACUGUGAGAGAAUCAUUUCUGCUGUUUUCAGCUGCCCAGUUUGCGGUUCCUUGCCAUGACAGCCCUGGGAAACUCACGCACCCUUUCAGUGGGAAAUCCAAGAUCCUCUCCUGGGCACCCCUGCUGGACGCGGCGCGUGUGAGCCUGCCGACCCGACACCCAUAACCAGGCCAGGCUCGCGCGCUGCGUCCCCUGCCACCAAGGUCCUCUUUGCCCCCGUGCCUCUGCGCAUCCCGCCACCUCUGCCUAGAGGCCCCUUCCUGCUUUUUUUGCCUGGUGAAGCUGCCACGCCUUUAAGGCUGGGUCAGCACCCUCCAGGAGGCCCUGUCGGGGCCUGACCUCCACCCGCCCCUGCACUCUGUCUCGAAGCCUCCCCUAGCGCCGAGUCUGUGGUCCUGAGUGCUGAGUGCCUGCUCCCUGGGCAGACUGUGAGGCCUUGAAGGGGAGGAAGUGCCUCUUCCUCUCUUGCUCUGGUGAGCCAGUCACAGGCCUGACUGCGGAGCAGCGGCCCUCAGCAAGGGUUGGCUGAAGGAAGGACUGAGUGAGGAAGGACUGAGUGCCACAUUAUGUAAGUGGCAGGGGAAGGCCAAAAUCUAGAAACACCUGUCACCCUGAAAUAACUGUUGUUGCAAUAGUUCUGGCUUCAGAGGCAGCUCCCAGAUCUAGUUCUACCCUCAGAUCCUAGCCUCUGGCUCACUGUGACUCCUGGUGUGAAACGGAGGAGUUGGGCAUAACAUGUGGGCCUCAGGACGUAUGACCAUGCCUCCUGCUUCGUGACUGGUGCCCCCAGCUUUGGUGGCAUGAAGGUUGGCAGUGCCGCCUCAGUGUCCCGUCCAGGGCUGCCCAGCCUCUGUUUCUGCCCGACCGUGGCCACUUCUGGUGCGCAGUAGCAGCCAAAACUCUUUCUGGGCGUACGUAGGCUUUUCUAAGGCUCAAAGCUGGGCCAGCAGCACUGGCGCUGAGUAACAGGACUCCUGCAAAGUUAAGCCAAGGGAACCAAAGAGGGAAACUGCUGAAAGGCGUCAAACAUUAUUUAUCAGCGAUUUUGGAGUUUCAGAUGCUCAGAUAAAUCUGCCCUUUCUCCUUCUCUGCAAUUUCCAGCACCUCUGUCUGUUCAUCUGCCCCAGACUCCCCCGUUUUCCACGUGUUCCCAGUGUCUUGCCCAGGGUGUGGCAUCCUGUCGGUGCCUACCUAGCACUAGAAUGAAUGAAUUGGGAAACAAGGCCGUGAGGCAGAUCAUCUUCAGGCUGCUCCCAGCUCAGGAUCCACAGGAACCUGCAGAAAAGCAGGCGGUGCAGGAAGAUGCCACAAAAUGACGGCAGCAGGAGGGGCUGUGGGCACGCCUGGGGCAGCUCGAAGAUGCCCCCAGGCAGGGAUCCCUGGGCUGGGAGGAAUAGAAUUGGGGGUUGUCUGGCGCCAGACAGAGGUGCUUAUGUUGGGACGCAGCUGGACUCCGUGUUAAGGAGCUGUGCUCACUUCCCCCAGAAUGAGGAGGACAGACGCCUGGACCAAAGCGUGUUCUCGACCCAGGGCCACACAGCCAGGCCACUGUCCUGCAAACACUGAACUACUGAAAAGGGAGAGGAACCCUCUGCAGCUGGGGAGGCUCACUUGAAAUUCACAUUUGCAGCUGCAAUCAGCCCCAUUUUGUCUCCACAAGGCUUGGGAGGGGGGUCUCUUUUUAUGGGGGGGAUGGAAAAAAGGAACUGGUGUGAAUCAGACAGAGCUGAUACGAAUGAUGCUGAUACCGAGGGUGGCAACCCCUGCGGGCAGCCCUCCUCGUUUUCACAGCCCAUCUCGGCCGCCUCGCCCCACGCGCCUCAUUGAAUUCCUGUGACUUUGUGAGCCAGAGAUUAUUGUCUCCGUUUUAUAGGUAGGAAAACCGAGGUACAAAGAUGCUCGAAGAGCUGCUCAGGGUGGCCGAGCAAGCCCAUUGGAAACUGGAAUCAGACCCUGUAGUCGUUCAGUUCCACAGCUCGUGCCCUCUUGGUUCCCCUGUGCUACUUGAAAUAAAAUUAGAGUAAGCAAGAUGA